AGAUGAAAAGGAACCAGGAUAUUUGUAAUUUGUAAUUUUUUCGCUUUCUUAGUCUCCCUUAUAACUAGUAGAAAAAUCACUAGUGCGGUAUAGGAAAUUAAAUGGUUUUGAUGAUGAAAAUAAUUUGCAAUGCUCCUUUGAAAGAUGUUUUUGUGAGAGCUGCAAGUUUUUCAACCACAAAAUGUCACAGAUUCUGAUAGGCUAUGCAGAGGUCUCUGUUUUUUCUGUUCUGUUUUAAUGGCAGCGUUUUAACUGUUGGAUUAAAAGAGUAUUCUGUGAUUAUCUUUUAAGCAUCACAGAAAUUCAAGUAGAGGGUACACACCUAUCGAUGUUAAAAAUGAUAAAAUUAGCUAUAUCUGUAUUUUUCUCUUUAGUGCCAAAUGAAUGCCUUAGCUACUCAUAGUGCAUGGUACUGUAAGUGAAGACCUGCAGCUUUUUUUUUUCUUUAAUGAAAAGCAUUAUGAUGACAUAGUAACAUCAGAUAUAAACUAAAACAACAAAAACAGAAAAAACCCCAAACUUGUACGGUUUCAGUGGUCAUUGAAUGUAUGUGUACUGUUUUGUGAAGUAUAAGAGAAGGGUUGCAGUUGGAUCAGUGUAAAAUACAAUGACCAAGCCAAAAUUAGCACCUAGGGCCUUAAAUAAAAGAUACCCCACGAAAUGAAAUAGUUUGAAGGGUAGGAGGGAAUGGAAGGUGGGAAGCUUAAAAACUCCCCCCCCCCCAAGAAUGCAAGAUACCUUUACAGCUACUGUAGUUAACUCUUCGUGUUCUUCUUGCUUCAGCUAGGAAUGUUUUGAUGGUAAAUUCUGUCGUCGUAAUAUAUUUCUGUUUCCCCAACCUGAGGUUUUUACAAGGAGGGCUUUUAGGAUGGUUUAAAGGGUGGUAUUUGAAUGAGCCCUAAUUUUAAAAUUACCGGCCUUGCUCCUCCUGGCAUAAUCAAGGAAACCCUGUACCUUGCUCUUGGCAACUCUCAUGGCCUGAAAGAGAAAAUGCAUGGCCCCAAGGUGAGUGAAUCCCGCCUUUUCCGCAGCUUAGAUCAGACUCUGUGUUUUUUAGAUUUCAAGGCCUGCUUCUUUGACAGUCUGAGGAGUAGCUGUGAUACUUGGUGUUCAGUUAGUUCCAUUAUUAAUGCGUAUGAUUUUUAAACACCAACACUUAAAAUAUCAGAUAAUGUUGCAUGUUUUAAAAACCAUUUCAUCUCUUUGGCUACCCAGGACCAGCACUAUUUUAGAUAUUGCUUAUUUAUAAAAUGAGGAUAAUGAUCACAUGUACAUAUUCAGACAUCAAAAUUUAAUGACUGUUUUUGAGAAGGGAUGAAUGCUGGAGAAAGUAGAGCUGCUGAUUGAAAUGCUGACAGAGUUGGAGAAGGAAGACAGUGGAAUAAACUAUGAACUCUGCUAAUGGUAACAAAUUUUUUACUAUAGUGUAGUAGGACAUUGUGCACUCUAUUGCUAAGGAUCUAAUUUUGUCUUGUAAAAUAAAUCCAAAUAUGUAUUGUGAAACAUCUGUAUAAAACCAUUCUUGAAACAAGUGAUUUACAUGCCUGUUUUUUAUUUGUUUUUGGUAGGAUUAUUUUAAACAUGUUUAGCCAAAUCCUUCCCAAGCUUAAGUUUUGUUUUGUUGUGUGUGUGUGUGUGUGUGUGUGUGUGUGUGUUUUAAGGAAAAUAAAUCGGUAAUAAUAGUUGAGUAUCUCAGCUUACUUGAGAACUCUAGGCUGUCUCCAUUUCCAGCCACUUUUGUCACUUUCUGUUUAUUAUUGGUAGAAGUAUGCUUUGGAUUAUAAGUCUUCCUUGAUGAUGUUAUAGAUGAAGUUAAAACUUGCCUUGCUCAGUAAUUGUCCUAUGAAUUUGGCUGAACUAGAGGCCCAGGUGGAUGAAUACCUGGGCAAACCAUGUGAAACUUAGGUGGGUUUUACGCUUUUAAUGGAGUUGGUGACCUUGAACUCUUGACCUUAGGUCUCUAACUCAAGGAAUGGGCAGCAAACCCAUUCCCCCAAUUGAUAAAGAAGGGGGAAAUUUUUUAUUUAAGAACUCUGACACAACAAAUUUUUUUUCAGUCUACCCUGGAUGGCUCUAGCAGGCCACAGUCCAACUACCUUAAGGUUCUUUACUGUGGGAACUUCAAACAAACCAACCAAAAAGCAAGCUUUGGUCUUGCUCAUUUCUGGAUUUCUGGGAAGAGUUUUAUUUCAUUAUACUAAUAAUUGAUUAGUAGCUGACAAUUAUGAGGAAUUUAGAUAGGUACGAUAGUCUGUUUGAAGUAACAUAUGAUUUGGGGACAGUAGCUCCCUGAGUAUCAACUCUGCAUUUGGGAAGUGUCUUUAAAAAUCCAAAUCCCAAGGGAACAACACCCUGUCUCCAGUCUCCACUAUAGUUUGAGGCAGCUACUUUAUGGGUAAGACCAUUUUGGAUUAUUCAUGCAGAAGCAUUUUUUUUUUUUUUUUGAAUGGGACAGGGUGAGGAGUGAGUUGCUGGACCUCGGAUUACAGUUUGCUGGGUUUAGAAGCAGCCAGUGAUUGAACUAGUGAGUAGAUGGAUAAGAGUAUAAUAAAGGACUUGUUUUUAUGGUAGAUCUUCUGUAAAGAUCUUAAAUGUUCCUUUUUAGGCUAGCCAUAUGUAUCUAUGUACAGAUGACUAUUCUGUUUUCUUCACUAUGCUGUAACAUGAAAAUGAAUUAAAGAAGACAAAACUCUGCCUUUCGCUCUAUGAAAAGUUACCAGCCCAUAAGAUGUUAAGCUCUGUGUUUAUUCCUGCUCUGGAAAUGCACAGCUCUGCUUUGGGUUCCUCUCUGGAAGGUAGAAAGCACCUGGUUAUGUAUGGCACAUCGCAGGGCCUUCCUCAUACAUUUCUGGCAGAUUUGCCCAAAUCUUCAGAUGGGCUCGGUUGUAUGUACAGCAUCCUCUCUCCCAAAUAUGGGAUCUGAAAUAAAUACACUGAUAGUGAUGCUAUAUAUAUUAAUUUUUAAAAUUGUAAAGUAAAUGUCUUUAGUCCUAGGUUUGUGGUGUGUUCAUUUGUGUUAAUGUGCAGGGAAGGGACAUGGACUUGAUGGUUAUGGGGAGUGUAUCUUGAUGUGUGUGCAGGGGUGAGUAUUGCUAAAUUAUUAACAGCUUUUCAUUUAGGGGUGAGUUAUGUGACAAGUGGCCUAAUCAGAAAAAUGAAGGAGCGAAGAUGCAAGCUUUGCCAAGUGAUGAAGUAAACAAGAUUUUGUAUCUGUUUUUUAUCAGGUGUUGUAAAAUUUGUGCAUGGCUUUUUUUUUGUUGUGGCUUAUUAGUAAUUGGUAGAGGAGAAAAGAGGAGGAAAACCCCUCAGCUUUGCUAACCAGUCUUUUCAAAGGUACAUAAGUUGGGGAGUAAAAUCUGACUGGCCUAAUGUGUUGAAAAGAUCCUAUCCUUUAUAAUAUUCACCCCAUCCUGUAAUCCUCCAUGUAGAGGAACUACAUUGUUGUAUUCUAGUAAUUCACUGUGAUUUAUAACAAACCAGUGAUGUCAUUCUAUUGUGCACUUUUGUCAAACCAUUUACGUGACUUUAAUAAACAUAGUAAACUUGCUGACUGCA
rnacentral:lncRNA from 1 species